UAUAAUUUUUGACUCUCGUCUUAUUUAAAUUUUUUUGCGAUUGAUAUUUUUAUUUUUAUUAGAUGAUAAAUCAUGAAUAGUAUUCUACGUGUGACUAUUUUUUUUUCUAAUUUUCUGAAUUUUUUCAAAUAAGACGGAUAGUCAAACGUUGGACACGGAAACC
rnacentral:pre_miRNA from 1 species